rnacentral:tRNA from 1 species
UCAAAGUGCAAAUUUGACGGCGACCCCCAGUUGGGUCCGGGGCUUCUCCCC